rnacentral:rRNA from 1 species
UACGUAGGUGGCAAGCGUUGUCCGGAUUUAUUGGGUUUAAAGGGUGCGUAGGCGGUUGUUUAAGUCAGUGCUGAAAUACUCCAGCUUAACUGGAGGGGUGGCAUUGAUACUGGACGACUUGAGUGAAGUCGAGGUAGGCGGAAUUGACGGUGUAGCGGUGAAAUGCUUAGAUAUCGUCAAGAACACCGAUAGUGAAGACAGCUUACUAGACUUCAACUGACGCUGAGGCACGAAAGUGUGGGGAUCAAACAGGAUUAGAAACCCGCGUAGUC